UAAAAGGGCCAUUGAAUGAGUAAAG
rnacentral:misc_RNA from 1 species